GAUGAACGCUGGCGGCGUGCUUAAUACAUGCAAGUCGAACGAGGUGCUUUUGUAGCAAUACGGGAGUAUCCUAGUGGCGAACGGGUGAGUAACGCGUUGGUGACCUGCCCCGAAGUGUGGGAUAACAGUCCGAAAGGAUUGCUAAUACCGCAUGUGGUCACCGGGUUUAGAAACCGGUGACUAAAGCAGUAAUGCGCUUUGGGAGGGACCUGCGUCCCAUCAGUUAGUUGGUGAGGUAACGGCCCACCAAGACGUCGACGGGUAAGGGACCUGAGAGGGUGGUCCCUCACAAUGGCACUGAAACACGGGCCAUACACCUACGGGUGGCAGCAGUAGGGAAUAUUGGGCAAUGGGCGAAAGCCUGACCCAGCAACGCCGCGUGUACGAUGAAGGUCUUCGGAUCGUAAAGUACUUUUCUGGGAGAUGAGAAAGGACAGUAUCUCAGGAAUAAGUCUCGGCUAACUACGUGCCAGCCGCCGCCGUAAGAC
rnacentral:rRNA from 1 species